rnacentral:lncRNA from 1 species
CAGAAGUAUGGGAUAACUGUGGACAAACAAAUUCUGAUCGGUUGGAAAAUAUCCAAAUCGAGGCUGCUCGAAUAGUUACGGGAUUAACAAGUUACGCUAGCCGGAACAGUAUCUAUUUAGAGACGGGAUGGGAAAAAUUAAGCGUCAGACGGGAGGUUAAAAAAUUAUCUAUGUUUUAUAAGAUUAUAAAUAACCAAGCGCCAG